AUGAACGGGGAAGAUUUUCUUACUCCAUAUAGAGGUCAAAGGUAUCACCUUAGUGAAUGGGGGAAUAGCUUACAACCGGCUACACCUAAAGAGUUUUUUAAUAUGAAACAUUCAUCGGCUAGAAAUGUAAUAGAAAGAUGUUUUGGACUUUUGAAGGGACGUUGGACUAUAUUAAGAGAGAAGUCAUUCUACCCUUUAAAAACUCAAAUAAGAAUUAUCACAGCUUGUUGUCUUCUACAUAAUCAUAUUCGAAUCAAAAUGACAUGA